rnacentral:rRNA from 1 species
CCUUAGAGUUUGAUCCUGGCUCAGGAUGAAUUCUGGCGGCGUGCCUAACACAUGCAAGUCGAACGGACUCAUAUUGAAACCUAGUGAUUUAUGAGUUAGUGGCGGACGGGUGAGUAACGCGUGGAAAACCUGCCGUAUACCGGGGGAUAACACUUAGAAAUAGGUGCUAAUACCGCAUAAGCGCACAGCUUCGCAUGAAGCAGUGUGAAAAACUCCGGUGGUAUACGAUGGUUCCGCGUCUGAUUAGCUGGUUGGCGGGGUAACGGCCCACCAAGGCAACGAUCAGUAGCCGGCCUGAGAGGGUGAACGGCCACAUUGGGACUGAGACACGGCCCAAACUCCUACGGGAGGCAGCAGUGGGGAAUAUUGCACAAUGGGGGAAACCCUGAUGCAGCGACGCCGCGUGAGUGAAGAAGUAUUUCGGUACGUAAAGCUCUAUCAGCAGGGAAGAAAAUGACGGUACCUGACUAAGAAGCCCCGGCUAACUACGUGCCAGCAGCCGCGGUAAUACGUAGGGGGCAAGCGUUAUCCGGAUUUACUGGGUGUAAAGGGAGCGUAGACGGCAGCGCAAGUCUGGAGUGAAAUGCCGGGGCCCAACCCCGGAACUGCUUUGGAAACUGUGCAGCUUGAGUGCGGGAGAGGUAAGUGGAAUUCCUAGUGUAGCGGUGAAAUGCGUAGAUAUUAGGAGGAACACCAGUGGCGAAGGCGGCUUACUGGACCGUAACUGACGUUGAGGCUCGAAAGCGUGGGGAGCAAACAGGAUUAGAUACCCUGGUAGUCCAUGCCGUAAACGAUGAUUACUAGGUGUGGGUGGGACUGACCCCAUCCGUGCCGGAGUUAACACAAUAAGUAAUCCACCUGGGAAGUACGACCGCAAGGUUGAAACUCAAAGGAAUUGGCGGGGGCCCGCACAAGCAGUGGAGUAUGUGGUUUAAUUCGAAGAUACGCGAAGAACCUUACCAGGUCUUGACAUCCGACUAACGAAGUAGAGAUACAUUAGGUGCCCUUCGGGGAAAGUCGAGACAGGUGGUGCAUGGUUGUCGUCAGCUCGUGUCGUGAGAUGUUGGGUUAAGUCCCGCAACGAGCGCAACCCUUACUGUUAGUUGCUACGCAAGAGCACUCUAGCAGGACUGCCGUUGACAAAACGGAGGAAGGUGGGGACGACGUCAAAUCAUCAUGCCCCUUAUGACCUGGGCUACACACGUACUACAAUGGCCGUAAACAGAGGGAAGCAAAGCCGCGAGGUGGAGCCAACCCCCAAAAGCGGUCUCAGUUCAGAUUGCAGGCUGCAACUCGCCUGCAUGAAGUCGGAAUUGCUAGUAAUCGCAGAUCAGAAUGCUGCGGUGAAUACGUUCCCGGGCCUUGCACUCACCGCCCGUCA